rnacentral:lncRNA from 1 species
AAAAAAAAAUAAAAAGUUGACUAAAUACUCCUCACUUGGAUCUAAACCCACUUGUUUUCUUUGCUUUCUCACCUGUUGAGAGAAGAGUUUCCCCUUCCAACUCCCCCUCUAACUAUAGCCACACAUUUUAAGAUCUAGUCCUUUCUAAAGUCAAGGAUUCAUUAAUGAAUCAUAAUGAUAAUGAUGUUACAUUAAAAAAAACUUAAACCUUAUUAUUAUAAGUUAUAAACUCAUAAAAUACUUCUCUAGAGUGUUAUAGGCAACUUUUGUAUAUUUGUAGGCCAUGAAAUUAUGUAUGGCCUCUAUAUUAUUAUCCUGACUUUUCACACUGUAAUCUCUGGUCCUUAUACUUUUUCAAUAAAAUAUUUUAGUCGCUGAGCUUUUACUUAUAUUAUAUUUUAGAAUAUAAACAUUAAAUUUUCUCACUUUUAUUGUGAAAUGAUCUUUUUAGCCUAUAUGGGAUUAUGAAUUAAAAUAAGUGAGGCAUUUUACUAAAUAAAUAAAAUAAUCAUUUUUACGAAAAAGUUGCAUUAUUUUUCUAUAUCAAAGCCUAAAAUAUACAACUAGAGUGUUUAAUUCUCUGUUUGAAAUUUGUGGAUCAAAUUUGUUGAACACAGCGAAAAAAUAUGGUAAAAAAAUGCUAUUUAUUUACAUAAGUAACAACAUGUCACAUCGAUUGUAGUAGCUUAGUUCAGCUAUAAUUUUUUCAAUUUUAUUAAGAAAAAGAAAAAAAAAUAUGCAUGUUUCUAUUUCUAGUCUAAAAAUGUUAGAUAAUUUUCAAUACUAAAUAAAUGUAUGCUGAGUUUCUAUUUCAGUCUCGAACUUCUUAUUUGAUUUUUAUUCUUUAUAUUUACUUAGCAAGAACGUUAGAGCGAAAAAUCAUAUUUUUUUAAGAAACAAAAUAAAUUAUAUCGUAACUAAAAUAUAUUAUUUUAUCAAAUACAAAUAUUCAAAUCUUUAAAAAUAUAAAAAAAAAUUAGACUCGUUACUUUCCAUCUUAAUAUAUAAGAUAUAAAAUACAAAUUGCAAUGUUGUUAAUAUAGUAAAGGUAGUAGAAUCCAAACACAAGUACACAAUCCGUAUCCUUUAGUAUGAGCCUACACAGGUUUUUCCUUUUCUUUUCUUUUUUUUUCUAUUUGAUGAUGUUAUACUUAAAAAAAAAAAUUAAUUUCAUAUAUAUUCCUACAAACAUAAUAAAUAAUAGAUAUAUAUAUUUAUAAUGUUCAAUUAAUUUUUAUAUAUUGUCUCUAUAAAAAUUCUGAUAUUUUCAAAUAUGUUCAUGUUGUUAGAAUCCGUUAGAUAAAUUUAAUUAAUCAUAACUUAAAUAUUUAAUACUAAUUAAUUUUUAAUAUUUUUAUUUUUUUAUAUUAUACUGUUGUGAUUUUUGAAAAAGAUAUAUUUGUGAUAGCAAAAUUGAAAAUAUAAAUAGUUCUCUAGCGGUUCUUUAAUAGUAACAAAUUAAAAGGAUAUAUUUAAAAAUAUCAGAACUUUUGUAAGAACAACGUAUAAAAGUUAAACUUUAUAGUGAAAUAUUUAUAAUUUACUAUAUUUAUAAAAACCUUUAUAAAAUUAAUUUAAAAUAAAAAAUAAAAAUAAAACUAAAAUCAGAAAAGGUAAGAUGUCAUCCCUGGUCCCCUCCUCCUACUUCCCACCCGCUUUCCAGAGAGAGAGAGAGAGAGAAAGUAGAGAGAGAAGGGAACAGACAGCAACAGCGAGAGAGAGAGAGAGGGAAGAAAGCAGAAGGCGGGCAGCGCUGAACAGCAGGCAGCGCCGCACCAGCGAAAGCGACGGCUGGCUGCUGCGCCUAAAAAUCUUAAAAUCUCCUCCUUUUUAUUCCCCUCGGAAGCACCCAAACACAAAGCCAAAAAUACAAAAACAAAGGAUAUAAAAAAGGAAAAAAAAAAAAGAAAAGAAGAAAACAACAGGAAAAAAAAAAAACACUCCCACUCAACACCACCACCACCCAACUCCACCUCCGCCCAACAACACUCACCCACUCACACCUACAACUCUCUUUUAGAGAGAGAGAGAGAUGAGAGAGAAAAAGAUAUCUACUACUAUUUGAGAGUGCAGGAUUGUGUCGAAAACUUAUCCUGCCGUGUUUUUCGCUGUUAGAUCUACUCUUUUGAUCAUUUUUUUCUGUUAAAUCAUACUAUUCAAUCAAUCACCCACUCAAUCCAAAAGGGCCCACAUCAUUCUAACCGUAUAUCUCUUAAUCUAAUAGCCAAAAACUUGGUAGCAUCAAUUACUUAGUGCUAUUAAUAGUAUAUUAGCCUAGUUUUAUAUAUAUAUAUAUAGCGAGAAAUAAUAAUAUAAAAAAUUAUUUUUUAAAAAAGUAAAAUAUUUUAACUAUUUUUUAUUAUGCUUAUUAAUUUUUUAAAAUUUUAUCGAAAAAAUUCCUUACUAAUUUACAGUAUAGAGAAUUUUGAGCUGUGACGUUGGUGUGGAAACUGUAUCGUACCGAUAUUUUAUUGGCAUGAUAUGGUGCGGUAAAUAUGGUUGAUAUCUAUGGACUAAAAUUGGACUGUUAUUAG